AGAGUUUGAUCAUGGCUCAGGAUGAACGCUAGCGGGAGGCCUAACACAUGCAAGCCGAGCGGUAGAGAUUCUUCGGAAUCUUGAGAGCGGCGUACGGGUGCGGAACACGUGUGCAACCUACCUUUAUCAGGGGGAUAGCCUUUCGAAAGGAAGAUUAAUACCCCAUAAUAUAUUGAAUGGCAUCAUUUGAUAUUGAAAACUCCGGUGGAUAGAGAUGGGCACGCGCAAGAUUAGAUAGUUGGUAGGGUAACGGCCUACCAAGUCAAUGAUCUUUAGGGGGCCUGAGAGGGUGAUCCCCCACACUGGUACUGAGACACGGACCAGACUCCUACGGGAGGCAGCAGUGAGGAAUAUUGGACAAUGGGUGAAAGCCUGAUCCAGCCAUCCCGCGUGAAGGACGACGGCCCUAUGGGUUGUAAACUUCUUUUGUAUAGGGAUAAACCUUUCCACGUGUGGAAAGCUGAAGGUACUAUACGAAUAAGCACCGGCUAACUCCGUGCCAGCAGCCGCGGUAAUACGGAGGGUGCAAGCGUUAUCCGGAUUUAUUGGGUUUAAAGGGUCCGUAGGCGGAUCUGUAAGUCAGUGGUGAAAUCUCAUAGCUUAACUAUGAAACUGCCAUUGAUACUGCAGGUCUUGAGUAAAGUAGAAGUGGCUGGAAUAAGUAGUGUAGCGGUGAAAUGCAUAGAUAUUACUUAGAACACCAAUUGCGAAGGCAGGUCACUAUGUUUUAACUGACGCUGAUGGACGAAAGCGUGGGGAGCGAACAGGAUUAGAUACCCUGGUAGUCCACGCCGUAAACGAUGCUAACUCGUUUUUGGGACUUCGGUUUCAGAGACUAAGCGAAAGUGAUAAGUUAGCCACCUGGGGAGUACGUUCGCAAGAAUGAAACUCAAAGGAAUUGACGGGGGCCCGCACAAGCGGUGGAUUAUGUGGUUUAAUUCGAUGAUACGCGAGGAACCUUACCAAGACUUAAAUGGGAAAUGACAGGUUUAGAAAUAGAUCCUUCUUCGGACAUUUUUCAAGGUGCUGCAUGGUUGUCGUCAGCUCGUGCCGUGAGGUGUUAGGUUAAGUCCUGCAACGAGCGCAACCCCUGUCACUAGUUGCUAACAUUCAGUUGAGGACUCUAGUGAGACUGCCUACGCAAGUAGAGAGGAAGGUGGGGAUGACGUCAAAUCAUCACGGCCCUUACGUCUUGGGCCACACACGUAAUACAAUGGCCGGUACAGAGGGCAGCUACACAGCGAUGUGAUGCGAAUCUCGAAAGCCGGUCUCAGUUCGGAUUGGAGUCUGCAACUCGACUCUAUGAAGCUGGAAUCGCUAGUAAUCGCGCAUCAGCCAUGGCGCGGUGAAUACGUUCCCGGGCCUUGUACACACCGCCCGUCAAGCCAUGGAAGUCUGGGGUACCUGAAGUCGGUGACCGUAAAAGGAGCUGCCUAGGGUAAAACAGGUAACUAGGGCUAAGUCGUAACAAGGUAACC
rnacentral:rRNA from 1 species